GAUGAACGCUGGCGGCGUGCCUAAUACAUGCAAGUCGAGCGAACAGAUGAGGAGCUUGCUCCUCUGACGUUAGCGGCGGACGGGUGAGUAACACGUGGAUAACCUACCUAUAAGACUGGGAUAACUUCGGGAAACCGGAGCUAAUACCGGAUAAUAUAUUGAACCGCAUGGUCCAAUAGUGAAAGACGGUUUUGCUGUCACUUAUAGAUGGAUCCGCGCCGCAUUAGCUAGUUGGUAAGGUAACGGCUUACCAAGGCGACGAUGCGUAGCCGACCUGAGAGGGUGAUCGGCCACACUGGAACUGAGACACGGUCCAGACUCCUACGGGAGGCAGCAGUAGGGAAUCUUCCGCAAUGGGCGAAAGCCUGACGGAGCAACGCCGCGUGAGUGAUGAAGGUCUUCGGAUCGUAAAACUCUGUUAUUAGGGAAGAACAAAUGUGUAAGUAACUAUGCACGUCUUGACGGUACCUAAUCAGAAAGCCACGGCUAACUACGUG
rnacentral:rRNA from 1 species